UACGUAGGGUGCAAGCGUUAAUCGGAAUUACUGGGCGUAAAGCGUGCGCAGGCGGUUAUGCAAGACAGAUGUGAAAUCCCCGGGCUUAACCUGGGAACCGCAUUUGUGACUGCAUAGCUGGAGUACGGCAGAGGGGGAUGGAAUUCCGCGUGUAGCAGUGAAAUGCGUAGAUAUGCGGAGGAACACCGAUGGCGAAGGCAGUCCCCUGGGCCGGUACUGACGCUGAAUAGCGAAAGCGUGGGUAGCGAACAGG
rnacentral:rRNA from 1 species